GACCAGGGUUGGGCACCCCUGUUGUAACCAAUAACAUGACUGGAGCAGCAGCAUUCAGGGUUAAAUCACUCCCACGUGACUAACACCAGACCUUCACUAAGCCUGUCAGUAAUUAUAGCGAUGAGGCUGAACUCACAGGUCGGAUCCCAUUGCAUGUAGUUAAAACACUGAUGCAUUUAGCACAUACUAUACAUGUUUCCAUGCGUCAGCUCCAGAUAUGAAUGCAGUCCGACAGAUCUCAUUAACAUCUGAUCUUUUUACCUGCGGUCAUCUACACACCACCACCCAAGCGAUGUGUUUACCUCGGGAAGAGGACGGACUCUCAACCGGAAAUACGCUCUCAAAGCGAUCGGAACGCAAAUAUUGGGUUUUAGCGACACCAAGCGGAGGGGAAGGAUAAAGAGAUCUCUUUUAAGCUGCUACACUGAUUUUAGCCUGUCAAUCUUUAUCUUAAAAAAUCUUUAUCUGCUGCUUCUGUGGAGUGGAAGAUCAGUCUGUCCGUCAUGUUUUUUGGGAUUGUGUUCAUGUAGCUUCUUUCUGGAAGACAUUUUGUACUGUGUGUUUCUAUCUUAGACAAUUUCCUUUGGUGUUUAAGGAUGUCUUAUUUGGUUUUCAUAACUCUUAACAAGAAUCUAAAAGACAAGUAUUUUCUAAUAAAUCUAUAACCUACAUAAAUCUAUAUGUUGUGCAUGUUGUAUGUAUGAGGGAGGCAGGGAUUUAGCAAUGUGUUUUUUUUUUUCUCCUUACCCCUUAAUGUUUUGUUUUUGUUUUUUUUCCAGGUUCGUUGUAAAUUGUUUAUAUUAUAGCUCUUAUUGUUGUUGUAAUCUGUUUUGACCUGUAAAUGUGUGUAUUUACCUUUUAUAUAUGUUCAAUAAAAAAAAUCAA